AUUGUGGGGGCAGAUGGAUCUUUUAGAAGUUCACGGUUCGCCUUUCUCCUGCCCAGCCCCAUGCCUUAAGCAAAGUGUGGGAUGGUCUCGGGAGGACACCCACAAAUGUAAGUAGGAAGGUGGGAAGCAGCCUCUCCUCUAAUAUAGAAAAACAACUGUGACAGACAGAACAAAGCAUGUGGUUCAGACACGAGACCCUGAGCUAGCCCUGGGGAGGGAGACAGCAGCUUUGCAGCCGUUAUCCUCAGGAAGCCCUGAGCGCUGAGAGGCACUGUUACAGAACCGAACUGGGGUCCACUCGCUAGGCCUACCUAGGUGCCUGGAAUUUCCCUUCGAGGAACGCAGGAGUUUUCUUUAUUUUCAUGCUUGGGAAGGCUCAUUAGGCCCCUAAGAGAGGGUCCCUUCCCCAUCUCAGGACUAAAAUGCAAUGAAGAUGUUGCUCAGAGGCAGCUGGAGAGGGAUGGGUCUGUGGAGGAUGCCCCGCAGAGUGAAGUCGAGAUGAUGCAGCCACCAGGGCCGGAGGGGAGGGACAUUCCACUUUUUAAAUCAGCUUUCUGAAGCAUGAUCUCCAUAUAAUCACCUAGAAGCGUACAGCACAAUGAUCUUGACAGAUGCCAGCAUCCUUGGAACCACUGCCACCACCAACGUCUCAAACCAUUCCAUCAAACCCAGAACACUCCUGGUGCCCUGAAGCGUCUCCCUUCAGUGGCAGAACCAGCAGAGAUUCAGUGGUCACAAGGUGAGUGAGGCGGCCUGGGUCUGGCUCCUGGCCAUUAAUUUUAAAUAAUUUGCAUUUAACUUUGAACCACCACACCUGGCCAUAUUGGAUAGUGCAGGAGGAAUAAACUCACUGGCACAUCCUUCUGGGGCGUCUACUGUGUGCCCCCCUCCAAGCGGAGUGUGUGGGAACAGAGAGCAGCAUCCCUGCCACAGUGGGUGGCGGUCUGCUUGAGAGAUAUUUUAUUUUCUUGAAACAAAUAAAAAAGACAAAAGGAUGCAUGGUGUAAACACUGGUGGUCAGGCUAAAAUCAAAAAACCAUUAGUGGGCAACACAGCACAGAGUGGGCUCUGCCCAGGCCACAUGUGUGCAGUGCCAGGGCUCGGCUUCAGACCCAGAUGUCCACACCCAGCCCUGCCUAUUACACAAAGGCGGACAGAGCUGUGGGCCAGCGGCUGGCAAAAGGCCUUGGGGCAACCAGAACUCUCCAUCAGGGCAUUGCAGCCUUUAAGAGAAGGUGGGAACUGCUGCAUUUGCCCCGCCCUGGAUCUCAGCCCAGGAAACCCACUGUCACAGAACAACAGUCUUAGGAGCUUUCUUAUCGAGACAGUAGGAAGCUUUUAAACACAUCAGUGGUGAACGCCAGGCGGGUCUCUGGAACUUUUUCAUCUUGGAAAACUGAAACUCUCUACUCAUUGAACACUGUACACUUGAUUGAGAGCAAAUUGUAUGUGUUUUUGCCAGCCUCUUCCUGAAGGCGGACAUUUGUCUUGAUCUGUAUUGGAAUUCUUUAUCUAUGUUUAAAUUUUGUAUGAGAUUGAAUUCAUGUGUAUGUGAACUGAAAUGAAAUUAAAAUGUCAAACUACAAAAA
ensembl:lncRNA LINC01532 long intergenic non-protein coding RNA 1532